rnacentral:rRNA from 1 species
UACGUAGGCAGCAAGCGUUGUUCGGAAUUACUGGGCGUAAAGAGUGUGUAGGCGGUGCUCUAAGUUCGGUGUGAAAUCUCCCGGCUCAACUGGGAGGGUGCGCCGGAAACUGGGGUGCUGGAGCGCGGGAGAGGAAAGCGGAAUUCCUGGUGUAGCGGUGAAAUGCGUAGAUAUCAGGAGGAACACCGGCGGUGUAGACGGCUUUCUGGACCGUAGCUGACGCUGAGGCGCGAAAGCUAGGGGAGCAAACAGG